CUGUGUUCGACAAACAAAGAUUCGCUGAUAGUUUCAGUGUCAGUGUUUAGGUUGUGGGAUUUUCAUGAAUUAAGUUUGACUGAUGGAUUAACGGUUUGGAUUAACAAGGAAUUUACUGAGUUUCACCCUGCAUAGCAUCUUAUCAUCAGAGGAAGGUAAAAGGAUUUAGUUGUUGAUGUUAAUCUUAACAUCUCAUGAUGUGGUGAAGACAGCGAUGCAGAAAGGCUGGAACGACUCCCUGCGGCCGAUGGACAGACAUGGAAACCUGAAGAUUUUCAAGAAUCAUCUCCUGUGAAGUUAAUGACUGCAGACAGACUCGCGUCAAACUGAUGCCUGAAGACACACACGCAGGAGCCCUCUGUGCACUUCCAG